rnacentral:lncRNA from 1 species
GGGGCCAAUUUUUAUUGUGAGUAGGUGGUAUAAUUAGGUACACUUACAAAAAAGAAAAUGGAUACUUAUUUGGUAUACGGACUAAAAAGGAAAUAUAAGUACUCAUUUCGUGGACGAAGGAAGUAUAAGUUAUUUUGUUAAUUAUUUUUAAUUAAUAUAAAAAUAAACUAGAACAAAACGUAGCAAACUUAAUGUUGGUAAUACUAAAAAGAAAGCAGAACAAAAGAAAUUAUUUAAGGCAUAACAAAAAUUAUUUAAAGCAAAACCUAAUUGUGUGUUUGAAAAACAGAAGUAACAAAAUAAAAAUGGUUUAAAACAAAAUGCAUCAAAAAUAAAAAGCAAAACUAAAGAAAUGAAAAGGAAAGAAAAAAAAAAGAACACAAAGAAAGAAAUGGGUAAAAGAAAAAAAUAUAAAAAAUAAUUUCAAAUACUUCCAAAUUUUAAAGGUGGUGCUGCCACUUAUCCUCUCUUCUCUAUCUUUCUCCCCAAUAUAAAAAAUAAAAAUAGACAAGAGUAGCCAAAUUCAUAUAGUGUAUAAUGAUACAAUCCAAAAUACUUAUUGAAUUGAUUCGCAAUCGUAUAAGGUCAUUGUAGGCG